rnacentral:rRNA from 1 species
CGGGCGGGGCGGGGGCACNCGGGGGGAACGNGAAGAACCUUACCAGGUCUUGACAUCCUCUGACAACUCUAGAGAUAGAGCGUUCCCCUUCGGGGGACAGAGUGACAGGUGGUGCAUGGUUGUCGUCAGCUCGUGUCGUGAGAUGUUGGGUUAAGUCCCGCAACGAGCGCAACCCUUGAUCUUAGUUGCCAGCAUUUAGUUGGGCACUCUAAGGUGACUGCCGGUGACAAACCGGAGGAAGGUGGGGAUGACGUCAAAUCAUCAUGCCCCUUAUGACCUGGGCUACACACGUGCUACAAUGGAUGGUACAAAGGGCUGCAAGACCGCGAGGUCAAGCCAAUCCCAUAAAACCAUUCUCAGUUCGGAUUGUAGGCUGCAACUCGCCUACAUGAAGCUGGAAUCGCUAGUAAUCGCGGAUCAGCAUGCGCG